AUUGAUUCUGAUAGACACUUGGCAAGAAGCUUUUGGGGGAGCAGGAGGGAAGUAUCCCCAAUAUCACGCUGCAUAUCAAGAACUGAGGGCUGCUGGGGUGGAAUUCCCACCCCGCAUAGAAAAUGCUGCACCGUUGUUCACCCCUCCCCAAACCCAUCCAAUAGUGUCUCAGUCUAGUGGCCCAUCCUAUGAAGAUGAAGUCGUUGAAGCUUCCCUUCAAUCUGAUGUCUCUGCCCUCAGCUUGCAAGAAAUUCA
rnacentral:misc_RNA from 1 species